AUUGAACGCUAGCGGGAUGCCUUACACAUGCAAGUCGAACGGAGUGGCGAACGGGUGAGUAAUGUAUCGGAACCUGCCCAGUAGCGGGGGAUAACUCCGCGAAAGCGUAGCUAAUACCGCAUACUAUUGGAGCGGCCGAUGUCGGAUUAGCUAGUUGGUGGGGUAACGGCUCACCAAGGCGACGAUCCGUACCUGGUUUGAGAGGACGACCAGGCACACUGUAACUGAGACACGGCCCAGACUCCUACGGGAGGCAGCAGUGGGGAAGAGUGGAAAAUGGGGGAAACCCUGAGCCAGCCAUCCCGCGUGUGCGAAGAAGGCCUUCGGGUUGUAAAGCACUUUUGGCAGGAAAGCGGUACCUGCAGAAUAAGCACCGGCUAACUACGUGCCAGCAGCCGCGGUAAUUC
rnacentral:rRNA from 1 species